rnacentral:lncRNA from 1 species
GAGCCUGGAAAUUUUAUUUUAAGCUUUUAUGUAUAAUUUAUGUCUGUUUCCUCAUAGUCUCAUCCAUUUUAAGUGUAACAGUUCUCCUGAAUUUCUCAGCAAAUCUUUUCCUAAGGUGAAGCUAGGAUCUAACAUUGUACUUCAUUAGCACAUGCCCUUUCUCACUUUAAUAUCAUCAGGAGUCCCUAUUAUCUGAACACAGGAGGGUAUACAUCAGUGUCAGUCUUGAAAUUUGAAAUGUUUUGUUGAAAUGUCAACUCUGUUUGCAUAGACCUUAGCCAUGCUUUUUACACCCUCAGUUUUCAGAGGAAAGAGGUAAACCAUUCAGCAGUUCUGCCAACUUCUCCCUGUUGUUCUGCCAACAAGAAUUCGUUGACUUAUACUUUUCUUUUCAACUUACAAAUCAAUUUUGUUUCUCUUAAGUCACUUUCUUAUUUCGCUCCUUCAAUUUACUAUAAAUUCUUCUUUUUGACCAAUAUCCCCCCAUAGACUUUUCCUAUUAAUAAUAUUGAAGAAAGUGGUGUCUUAUGUAUUUGUUUCUCUAAUCUGAUAGUUUUUGAUACUCUUUUUUUUUUAUAACUUGAUGAACAGUACUACUUUGCCAUCGUUAUUUAUGAGUAGUAGUAAAUAUGUAAAUGUUAUUUUAAAAAAUUCUUUUAGGAAUAUUAUGAGUCCAAAAGCUUCCCAAGCACUUCCUGUUUCCCUUCCCACAUUGUACAUGCACAUAAAUAAAGCUAGGAGAUAUUUGAUGUAUUGAGAAAACAUUUAUGGUUGUUAUAAAAUGAACUUGGCAUCAUGCAUUUUCCUUCAUCCUGCCAGUUAAAAG